rnacentral:rRNA from 1 species
AUUGAACGCUGGCGGCAGGCCUAACACAUGCAAGUCGAGCGAGAGGCGGACGGGUGAGUAAUGUCUGGGGACUGCCCGAUGGAGGGGGAUAACUACUGGAAACGGUGGCUAAUACCGCAUACUGACGGAUAGCCCAGCUGGGAUUAGCUAGUAGGGAAGGUAAUGGCUUACCUAGGCGACGAUCCCUAGCUGGUCUGAGAGGAUGCGCAGCCACACUGGGACUGAGACACGGCCCAGACGCCUACGGAGGCAGCAGUGGGGAAUAUUGCACAAUGGGCGCAAGCCUGAUGCAGCCAUGCCGAGUGUAUGAAGAAGGCCCUAGGUUUGUAAAGUACUUUCAGUCGGGAGGCGUUACCGACAGAAGAAGCACCGGCUAACUCCGUGCCAGCAGCCGCGGUAAUAC